rnacentral:rRNA from 1 species
CCUACGGGAGGCAGCAGUGAGGAAUAUUGGUCAAUGGACGAGAGACUGAACCAGCCAAGUAGCGUGAAGGAUGACGGCCCAAAGGGUUGUAAACUUCUUUUAUAAAGGAAUAAAACGAGGCACGUGUGCCUGUUUGCAUGUACUUUAUGAAUAAGGAUCGGCUAACUCCGUGCCAGCAGCCGCGGUAAUACGGAGGAUCCGAGCGUUAUCCGGAUUUAUUGGGUUUAAAGGGAGCGUAGAUGGGUUGUUAAGUCAGUUGUGAAAGUUUGCGGCUCAACCGUAAAAUUGCAAUUGAUACUGGCAGUCUUGAGUACAGUUGAGGUAUGCGGAAUUCGUGGUGUAGCGGUGAAAUGCUUAGAUAUCACGCAGAACCCCGAUUGCGAAGGCAGCUUACUAACCUGUGACUGACAUUGAUGCUCGAAAGUGUGGGUAUCAAACAGGAUUAGAUACCCGAGUAGUC